UUUCAUCUGCACCCAAACCCUAACCCUAGCCCCGAGAGCCCCUCAUCAGAGAAGACAGCCCAACCGCUGGGGAGCCGACCGCUGCCGCACCGAAGUAAUUUCAGGCCACCAAACGAGGUAAAAAUUCUCUCAUUGGCUCAGAAUUCAAUUCUAAACCCAUCUAUGGCCAAAUCGGAGCAAAAACACCAGCCAAUUGGCAAAAAAAUACCGCCAAAGUCCAGCGGCACCACCGUAGGUUGUUUCAGUUUUUGCCUCCGAUGAGGCCAUUCCCGAUUCCCAUUCGAUGUAAUUUUUCCAUCAUUGUUACCAUUGUUCCCUCCUCUACAGGUUGG
rnacentral:lncRNA from 1 species